CAGCCGCCGCGGUAAUACCGGCGGCCCGAGUGGCGGCCACUAUUAUUGGGCCUAAAGCGUCCGUAGCCGGGCUGGUAAGUCCUCCGGGAAAUCUGGUCGCUUAACGAUCAGACUUCCGGAGGAUACUGCUGGCCUAGGGACCGGGAGAGGCCGAGGGUAUUCCCGGGGUAGGGGUGAAAUCCUGUAAUCCCGGGAGGACCACCUGUGGCGAAGGCGCUCGGCUGGAACGGGUCCGACGGUGAGGGACGAAGGCCAGGGUAGCGAACCGGAUUAGAUACCCGGGUAGUCCUGGCUGUAAACGAUGCGGACUAGGUGUCGGGCAAGCUAAGGGCUUGUCCGGUGCCGCAGGGAAGCCGUUAAGUCCGCCGCCUGGGGAGUACGGCCGCAAGGCUGAAACUUAAAGGAAUUGGCGGG
rnacentral:rRNA from 1 species